rnacentral:rRNA from 1 species
UGAGGCGUGGCUUCCGGAGCUAACGCGUUAAGUCGACCGCCUGGGGAGUACGGCCGCAAGGUUAAAACUCAAAUGAAUUGACGGGGGCCCGCACAAGCGGUGGAGCAUGUGGUUUAAUUCGAUGCAACGCGAAGAACCUUACCUGGUCUUGACAUCCACGGAAGUUUUCAGAGAUGAGAAUGUGCCUUCGGGAACCGUGAGACAGGUGCUGCAUGGCUGUCGUCAGCUCGUGUUGUGAAAUGUUGGGUUAAGUCCCGCAACGAGCGCAACCCUUAUCCUUUGUUGCCAGCGGUCCGGCCGGGAACUCAAAGGAGACUGCCAGUGAUAAACUGGAGGAAGGUGGGGAUGACGUCAAGUCAUCAUGGCCCUUACGACCAGGGCUACACACGUGCUACAAUGGCGCAUACAAAGAGAAGCGACCUCGCGAGAGCAAGCGGACCUCAUAAAGUGCGUCGUAGUCCGGAUUGGAGUCUGCAACUCGACUCCAUGAAGUCGGAAUCGCUAGUAAUCGUGGAUCAGAAUGCCACGGUGAAUACGUUCCCGGGCCUUGUACACACCGCCCGUC